AUUGAACGCUGGCGGCAGGCCUAACACAUGCACGUCGAACGGUAACAGGAAGCAGCUUGCUGCUUUGCUGACGAGUGGCGGACGGGUGAGUAAUGUCUGGGAAACUGCCUGUUGGAGGGGGAUAACUACUGGAAACGGUAGCUAAUACCGCAUAACGUCGCAAGACCAAAGAGGGGGACCUUCGGGCCUCUUGCCAUCGGAUGUGCCCAGAUGGGAUUAGCUAGUAGGUGGGGUAACGGCUCACCUAGGCGACGAUCCCUAGCUGGUCUGAGAGGAUGACCAGCCACACUGGAACUGAGACACGGUCCAGACUCCUACGGGAGGCAGCAGUGGGGAAUAUUGCACAAUGGGCGCAAGCCUGAUGCAGCCAUGCCGCGUGUAUGAAGAAGGCCUUCGGGUUGUAAAGUACUUUCAGCGGGGAGGAAGGCGAUAAGGUUAAUAACCUUGUCGAUUGACGUUACCCGCAGAAGAAGCACCGGCUAACUCCGUGCCAGCAGCCGCGGUAAUACGGAGGGUGCAAGCGUUAAUCGGAAUUACUGGGCGUAAAGCGCACGCAGGCGGUCUGUCAAGUCGGAUGUGAAAUCCCCGGGCUCAACCUGGGAACUGCAUUCGAAACUGGCAGGCUAGAGUCUUGUAGAGGGGGGGUAGAAUUCCAGGUGUAGCGGUGAAAUGCGUAGAGAUCUGGAGGAAUACCGGUGGCGAAAGGCGGCCCCCUGGACAAAGACUGACGCUCAGUGCGAAAGCGUGGGGGGCAAACAGGAUUAGAUACCCUGGUAGUCCACGCCGUAAACGAUGUCGACUUGGAGGUUGUGCCCUUGAGGCGUGGCUUCCGGAGCUAACGCGUUAAGUCGACCGCCUGGGGAGUACGGCCGCAAGGUUAAAACUCAAAUGAAUUGACGGGGGCCCGCACAAGCGGUGGAGCAUGUGGUUUAAUUCGAUGCAACGCGAAGAACCUUACCUACUCUUGACAUCCAGAGAACUUUCCAGAGAUGGAUUGGUGCCUUCGGGAACUCUGAGACAGGUGCUGCAUGGCUGUCGUCAGCUCGUGUUGUGAAAUGUUGGGUUAAGUCCCGCAACGAGCGCAACCCUUAUCCUUUGUUGCCAGCGGUUAGGCCGGGAACUCAAAGGAGACUGCCAGUGAUAAACUGGAGGAAGGUGGGGAUGACGUCAAGUCAUCAUGGCCCUUACGAGUAGGGCUACACACGUGCUACAAUGGCGCAUACAAAGAGAAGCGACCUCGCGAGAGCAAGCGGACCUCAUAAAGUGCGUCGUAGUCCGGAUUGGAGUCUGCAACUCGACUCCAUGAAGUCGGAAUCGCUAGUAAUCGUGGAUCAGAAUGCCACGGUGAAUACGUUCCCGGGCCUUGUACACACCGCCCGUCACACCAUGGGAGUGGGUUGCAAAAGAAGUAGGUAGCUUAACCUUCGGGAGGGCGCUUACCACUUUGUGAUUCAUGACUGGGGUG
rnacentral:rRNA from 1 species